rnacentral:rRNA from 1 species
AUACGUAGGGGGCGAGCGUUGUCCGGAUUUAUUGGGCGUAAAGGGUGCGUAGGCGGCCUUGUAAGUCAGAUGUGAAAGAUCAUGGCUUAACUGUGGUAAGCAUUUGAAACUGCAGGGCUUGAGUACAGGAGAGGAGAGUGGAAUUCCUAGUGUAGCGGUGAAAUGCGUAGAUAUUAGGAGGAAUACCAGUGGCGAAGGCGACUCUCUGGACUGAUACUGACGCUGAUGCACGAAAGCGUGGGGAGCAAACAGGAUUAGAUACCCUGGUAGUCCACGCUAUAAACGAUGAGUGCUAGGUGUCGGGGGUCAAACCUCGGUGCCGCAGUUAACACAUUAAGCACUCCGCCUGGGGAGUACGGCCGCAAGGCUGAAACUCAAAGGAAUUGACGGGG